UUGGAGGGCAAGUCUGGUGCCAGCAGCCGCGGUAAUUCCAGCUCCAAUAGCGUAUAUUAAAGUUGUUGCAGUUAAAAAGCUCGUAGUUGAAUUUCGGGAUCGAUACGUCGGUCGUGCCUUAGGUACGUACUGUCGUCAUCGAUUUCUCCCUUCUGACGAACCAUGAUGUCAUUUAUUUGGUGUUAUGGGAAAUCAGGACUGUUACUUUGAAAAAAUUAGAGUGUUUAAAGCAGGCAUUAGCUUGGAUACAUUAGCAUGGAAUAAUGAAAUAGGACGUUCGAACCUAUUUUGUUGGUUUUUAGGAUCAACGUAAUGAUUAAUAGGGAUAGUUGGGGGCAUUAGUAUUCAAUUGUCAGAGGUGAAAUUCUUGGAUUUAUUGAAGACUAACUACUGCGAAAGCAUUUGCCAAGGAUGUUUUCAUUAAUCAAGAACGAAAGUUAGGGGAUCGAAGACGAUCAGAUACCGUCGUAGUCUUAACCAUAAACUAUGCCGACUAGGGAUCGGAUGAUGUUAAUUUUUUAAUGACUCAUUCGGCGCCUUACGGGAAACCAAAGUGUUUGGGUUC
rnacentral:rRNA from 1 species